rnacentral:rRNA from 1 species
GACGAACGCUGGCGGCGUGCCUAAUACAUGCAAGUAGAACGCUGAAGGAGGAGCUUGCUCUUCUGGAUGAGUUGCGAACGGGUGAGUAACGCGUAGGUAACCUGCCUGGUAGCGGGGGAUAACUAUUGGAAACGAUAGCUAAUACCGCAUAAGAGUAGAUGUUGCAUGACAUUUACUUAAAAGGUGCAAUUGCAUCACUACCAGAUGGACCUGCGUUGUAUUAGCUAGUUGGUGGGGUAACGGCUUACCAAGGCGACGAUACAUAGCCGACCUGAGAGGGUGAUCGGCCACACUGGGACCGAGACACGGCCCAGACUCCUACGGGAGGCAGCAGUAGGGAAUCUUCGGCAAUGGACGGAAGUCUGACCGAGCAACGCCGCGUGAGUGAAGAAGGUUUUCGGAUCGUAAAGCUCUGUUGUAAGAGAAGAACGAGUGUGAGAGUGGAAAGUCCACACUGUGACGGUAUCUUACCAGAAAGGGACGGCUAACUACGUG